AUCUCAUCAUAGNGUGAGCGAUUCUGUCAGCNUAUGACUGUAAGCGAACCUAUCAGCGAUUGCGCUUCGUGACUAGGGCAACAGAUCGUGCCCGUAACACGGGCCGCCCCGCCAGAGGACCCCCUAACUCUGUUUCUAUAAUGUUUCUUCUGAGUAAACAAGCAACAGUACAAGUUAAAACUUUCAACGAACGGAUCUCUUGGCUCUGGCAUCGAUGAAGAACGCAGCGAGAAUGCGAUAAGUAAUGUGAAUUGCAGCAAUUCAUGUGAAUCAUCGGAAUCUUUUGAACGCACAUUGCUGCCCUGCCAGUAUUCUGGCUGGGCAUGCCUGUUCGAGCUGUCGAUUACAACCCUCAGUGCCCCCGGGCCUGGCGUUUGGGGAUCGGCGGAAGCCCCCUGGCGGGGNCACAACGCCGUCCCCGCAAAUACAGUAGGACGGUCCCNGCCGCAGCUUCCAUUGCGUACGUAGCUAACAUCUCGCAACUCGGAUGAGCGGCGCGGGCACGCCGUAAAACACCCAACUUCUCGAAUGUUGACCUCGAAUCAGUAGGAAAUACCCGGGUUCACACU
rnacentral:rRNA from 1 species